UAACCAGGAUUUCCCUAGUAACGGCGAGCGAACCGGAAAUAGCCCAGCUUGAAAAUCGCGGCGCUUCGCGCCGGGAGUUGUAGUCUGGAGAAGCGUCCUCUGCAGCGGACCAGACCCAAGUUCCCUGGAAAGGGACGUCAGAGAGGGUGACAACCCCGUCGAGUCUGGACCCUGUUGCUCAACGAGGCGCUGUCGACGAGUCGGGCUGUUUGGGAAUGCAGCCCUAAGUGGGUGGUAAAUUCCAUCCAAGGCUAAAUAUUGGCAAGAGACCGAUAGCGAACAAGUACCGCGAGGGAAAGAUGAAAAGGACUUUGAAAAGAGAGUUAAAAAGUGCUUGAAAUUGCUGGGAGGGAAGCGAAUGGAAGCUGCGGGUGUGCCCCGGUUGGAUGUGGAACGGCCCUUCAAAAAGGCUGGUCCGCCGCUCAACGCGGGGCACUGGUCAGCGUGGGCCAUCCCGGCGGGACAAGAGCAGGGUGCAAGUGUCCUGCCUAUGCCGUUGGGGUGGCCGAGGAACGAAGCGCGCGGGGCUCCUCUGGUGCCCCGUGGGACUUCUUGUCCCAACUGCGCGCUCGGGACGCUGGCGUAUUGAGCUCUUCAUCCGACCCGUCUUGAAACACGGACCAAGGAGUCUAACAUGUAUGCGAGCCGGUGGGCGGCAAACCCAUUGAGGCGCAAGUAAACUGACAGGUGGGAUCCCUCCUCAAAAAAGGGAGCACCAUCGACCGACCGUGAUCUUCUGUGAAAGGUUUGAGUGUGAGCAUACCUGUUGGGACCCGAAAGAUGGUGAACUAUGCCUGAGCAGGGCGAAGCCAGAGGAAACUCUGGUGGAGGCUCGUAGCGAUACUGACGUGCAAAUCGUUCGUCAGACUUGGGUAUAGGGGCGAAAGACUAAUCGAACCAUCUAGUAGCUGGUUCCCUCCGAAGUUUCCCUCAGGAUAGCUGGAGCUCGUGUGACAGUUUUAUCAGGUAAAGCGAAUGAUUAGAGGCAUCGGGGGUGUAACACCCUCGACCUAUUCUCAAACUUUAAAUAGGUAGCCGCCGGGG
rnacentral:rRNA from 1 species